AACCUCCGCAAUGUGAGAAAUCGCGACGGGGGGAUCCCAAGUGCCAUUCUUAACGGGAUGGCUUUUCAUUAGUGUAAAGAGCUUUUGGAAUAAGGGCUGGGCAAGACCGGUGCCAGCCGCCGCGGUAACACCGGCAGCUCUAGUGGUAGCAGUUUUUAUUGGGCCUAAAGCGUCCGUAGCCGGUUUAAUAAGUCUCUGGUGAAAUCCUGUAGCUUAACUGUGGGAAUUGCUGGAGAUACUAUUAGACUUGAGACCGGGAGAGGUUAGAGGUACUCCCAGGGUAGAGGUGAAAUUCUGUAAUCCUGGGAGGACCGCCUGUUGCGAAGGCGUCUAACUGGAACGGUUCUGACGGUGAGGGACGAAAGUUAGGGGCGCGAACCGGAUUAGAUACCCGGGUAGUCCUAACUGUAAACGAUGCGGACUUGGUGUUGGGGUGGCUUUGAGCUGCUCCAGUGCCGAAGGGAAGCUGUUAAGUCCGCCGCUGGGAAGUACGGUCGCAAGACUGAAACUUAAAGGAAUU
rnacentral:rRNA from 1 species